rfam:Mesorhizobium sp. L48C026A00 scaffold0004, whole genome shotgun sequence.
UGCCGGUCGUCCAAAGACCGGGGUUACUGAAGAGGCACACCUUCAUUGCCGGCAGUGCGGAACGGGUUCUCCCAAUCCAAGCCAAGGCAGACAAAGCGAACCGAGGCCGGGCAAGGCCAAGGUUCACCGCCGCGAGACGGCGCUUCAUGG